rnacentral:rRNA from 1 species
CCUACGGGUGGCAGCAGUGAGGAAUAUUGGUCAAUGGACGAGAGUCUGAACCAGCCAAGUAGCGUGAAGGAUGACUGCCCUAUGGGUUGUAAACUUCUUUUAUAAAGGAAUAAAACGAGGCACGUGUGCCUUUUUGCAUGUACUUUAUGAAUAAGGAUCGGCUAACUCCGUGCCAGCAGCCGCGGUAAUACGGAGGAUCCGAGCGUUAUCCGGAUUUAUUGGGUUUAAAGGGAGCGUAGAUGGGUUGUUAAGUCAGUUGUGAAAGUUUGCGGCUCAACCGUAAAAUUGCAAUUGAUACUGGCAGUCGUGAGUACAGUUGAGGUAGGCGGAAUUCGUGGUGUAGCGGUGAAAUGCUUAGAUAUCACGAAGAACCCCGAUUGCGAAGGCAGCUUACUAAACUAUGACUGACAUUGAUGCUCGAAAGUGUGGGUAUCAAACAGGAUUAGAUACCCUUGUAGUC